AGGGAAUCUUCGGCAAUGGACGAAAGUCUGACCGAGCAACGCCGCGUGAGUGAAGAAGGUUUUCGGAUCGUAAAGCUCUGUUGUAAGAGAAGAACGAGUGUGAGAGUGGAAAGUUCACACUGUGACGGUAUCUUACCAGAAAGGGACGGCUAACUACGUGCCAGCAGCCGCGGUAAUACGCAGGUCCCGAGCGUUGUCCGGAUUUAUUGGGCGUAAAGCGAGCGCAGGCGGUUAGAUAAGUCUGAAGUUAAAGGCUGUGGCUUAACCAUAGUACGCUUUGGAAACUGUUUAACUUGAGUGCAAGAGGGGAGAGUGGAAUUCCAUGUGUAGCGGUGAAAUGCGUAGAUAUAUGGAGGAACACCGGUGGCGAAAGCGGCUCUCUGGCUUGUAACUGACGCUGAGGCUCGAAAGCGUGGGGAGCAAACAGGAUUAGAUACCCUGGUAGUCCACGCCGUAAACGAUGAGUGCUAGGUGUUAGACCCUUUCCGGGGUUUAGUGCCGUAGCUAACGCAUUAAGCACUCCGCCUGGGGAGUACGACCGCAAGGUUG
rnacentral:rRNA from 1 species